GGGUCCAAUGGGAUCCGAUGGGGUCCAAUGGGGUCCAAUGGGGUCCAGUGGGGUCCAAUGGGAUCCAGUGGCGUCCAAUGGGAUCCAAAGGGGUCCAAUGGGAUCCAAUGGGAUUGAAUGGGGUCCAAUGGGAUCCAAUGGGGUCCAAUUAGGAUCUCCAGGUGAUGGGGUCCGAUUAGGAUCUCCAACGGGACCCAAUGGGGUUCUGAUCGGAAUCUCCAAUGGGAUCCAACGGGACCCAACGGGGACCCCCACGCCCCCCCCCCACCGCGAUGCCCCCCACUCCUCUCCUCCUCCCGACCCCCCGGCGCUCAGCGGGGCUCAGAACCCCGCAGCCGCCCUAAAAACUCCGUUCCUCUCUUCCGCGCUCCGCCUCCGGGGCCGCCCCUAUUUCCACUACGGCCCUAUAGAGGAUGAGCCCAACCCCGAUGUGGGGCGGAGGGACCGGGGGGGGGGGGGGGGGGGGGGGGGGGGGGGGGGGGGGGGGGGGGGGGGGGGGGGGGGGGAAAUCCCGUUAUGGGGUGAGGACGUUUUGUUCCUAUAGGGACAAUAUGGGGCGGGUUGCUGCGCUAUUGGCCCGACGUGGGGCAGAUUUCUGCCCUAUAGCCUCAAUAUGGGGCAGAUUUCUGCCCUAUUGCCCCUAUAUGGGGCAGUUCUGAGUCCUAUUGCCCCUAUAUGGGGCAUAUUUCUGCCCCAUUGCCCCAACACGGGGCAGAUUUCUGCCCUAUAGCCUCAAUAUGGGGCAGAUUUCUGCCCUAUUGCCCCUAUAUGGAGCAGUUCUGAGCCCUAUUGCCCCUACGUGGGGCAGAUUUCUGCCCUAUUGCCCCUAUGGGGGGCAGUUUUGAACCCCUAUUGCCCCUACAUGGGGCAGUUCUGAGCCCUAUUGCCCCUACAUGGGGCAGAUUUCUGCCCCUAUUGCCCCAACAUAGGGCAGAUUUUUGCCCCUAUUGCCCCUACAUGGGGCAGAUUUUUGCCCCUAUUGCCCCAACACGGGGCAGAUUUCUGCCCUAUAGCCUCAAUAUGGGGCAGAUUUCUGCCCUAUUGCCCCUAUAUGGAACAGUUCUGAGCCCUACUGCCCCUAUAUGGGGCAGAUUUCUGCCCUGUUGCCCCGACGUGGGGCAGAUUUUUGCCCCUAUUGCCCCUAUAUGGGGCCGUUUUGAACCCCAAUUGCCCCGACGUCGGGCAGAUUUCUGCCCUAUAGCCUCAAUAUGGGGCAGAUUUCUGCCCUAUUACCCCUACAUGGGGCAGUUCUGAGCCCUACUGCCCCGACGUGGGGCAGAUUUCUGCCCCUAUUGCCCCGACGUGGGGCAGAUUUCUGCCCUAUAGCCUCAAUAUGGAGCAGAUUUCUGCCCUAUUGCCCCGACGUGGGGCAGUUCUGAGCCCUAUUGCCCCUAUAUGGGGCAGAUUUCUGCCCUAUUGCCCCUAUAUGGGGCAGAUUUCUGCCUUAUUGCCCCGACGUGGGGCAGUUCUGAGCCCUAUU
rnacentral:lncRNA from 1 species